rnacentral:sRNA from 1 species
UAGAACUCAAUCUCAAGGUGGGUGGCGG